UACGUAGGGUGCAAGCGUUGUCCGGAAUUAUUGGGCGUAAAGAGCUCGUAGGCGGUCUGUCGCGUCGGCUGUGAAAACCCGGAGCUCAACUCCGGGCCUGCAGUCGAUACGGGCAGACUGGAGUUCGGCAGGGGAGACUGGAAUUCCGGUGUAGCGGUGGAAAUGCGCAGAUAUCAGGAGGAACACCGAUGGCGAAGGCAGGUCUGCUGGCACUACUGACGCUGAGAAGCGGAAAGCA
rnacentral:rRNA from 1 species